UGAGCUGUUUUUAUAGCCCCGAGGUGA
rnacentral:piRNA from 1 species